AUUGAACGCUGGCGGCAUGCCUUACACAUGCCAGUCGAACGGCAGCACGGGUGCUGGCACCUGGUGGCGAGUGGCGAACGGGUGAGAAAUACAUCGGAACAUGUCCUGUAGGGGGGGAUAGCCGGGCGAAAGCCGGAUUAAUAGCGCAUACGAUCUACGGCAGAAAGGGGGGGGCCUUGGGGCCUCGCGCUUUGGGGUUGGCCGGUGGCUGAUUAGCGAGUGGGGGGGGUAGAGGCCCAACAAGGGGGCGGUCAGUAGCUGGUCUGAGAGGGCGAGCAGACACGCUGGGGUGGAGACCCGGCCUAGGACCCGACGGGAGGCCGGAGUGGGGAAUUUGGGAGAAGGGGCGAAAGCUUGAUCCAGCAAGGCCGCGUGUGUGAAGAAGGCCUCCGGGUUGUAAAGCGCUUUUGUCCGGAAAGAAAUCCUUGGCCCUAAUACGGUCGGGGGAGGACGGUACCGGAAGAAUAAGCACCGGCUAACUACGU
rnacentral:rRNA from 1 species